rnacentral:rRNA from 1 species
CACCGCCCGUCACACCAUGGGAGUUUGUUGCACCAGAAGCAGGUAGCUUAACCGCAAGGAGGGCGCUUGCCACGGUGUGGCCGAUGACUGGGGUG